AGCCUAGUAGUGCAUGUGUCUACAUUUACGAUGGUCUCCUUCUGAUGUAAACAGUCCAUUACGUCAACAUAGUAACACCACCUCCCCAAAAGGAGCCAGGAGCAAUCUACUAAGGUAGAUGAAGUGCAAGUGCAGAUACCACAUGGCCUACAUCAACCCUCAAAGUCCUCCAGGAACCUUCUCACAAUGCCGACAGUGGCCGCUCUAUCCACAGUUGUGAACUCCAGUGCCUAGGGCUCACAAAGACUGGGAACCACGCCCCUUUAAAAGGCAUUUUUGAAAUGUCUUUUCCUGAUUUCUCAGCUUGGCAAGCACACCAAAUGUCCCUUCUUGUGUGCAACUGCCCAACCAACUAGGCCAGUUACAUGAUCUGGACACACGCCUGCCUGGAGUAAACUGGAGGCGUUGGAUCUCCUGGGCCUAUUGGGAGAAGAAGCUAUGCAGGCACAGCUACGGAGCAAUCAUAGAAAUGUGGACAUUGACAACCAGAUUGCCUGGGGGUUUCAGGAGAAGGAGUAUGAUAGAGAUCAGCAGCAGUGCCGCGUGAAAGUGAGGGAACUGCCGCAAGCAUAACAGAGUCAAGGAGGCCAACUGGCAGUCUGGAGCCAAGUAGCAGACCUGCCACUUCUGCAACAAGCUACAUGCCAUAUGUGGCAGAGACCCCGCUGAACACCAUAGAUACCUCCAAGGAUCCUGAAACACAGCCCCCAACUGUGAACAGUGGAGGACCAAGAAGAGGAAGAGAUUGGGAGAUCUGUGGCAGGGGGACCCAGCUACGCUGUGAGCCAGGAUCUUUUUGAGACUCUGCCGAAGUAUAGCCAGUCUCCUCAGAUGAGCAUGCAGGAGCACAUGAAGGAACAUCAGGUUUGGGCUCUGGGCCCCACAUCUCUAUUGCUGACUACGAGGCCGGUGGGAUCCGUGUGGUGUGUACGUUGGGUGGGUGGUACCCAGAGCCUGAAAUGCUGUGGAGAGAUUCUAGUGGGCAGCUUGUACCAUCACUGUCCCAAACGAAAUCCCAACAGGCAAAUGGCCUGUUUGAAGCUCAGAUUUCUUUUGUUAUAAAAGAAAGGACACAUCCUGGUUUGAAUUGUUACAUAAGGAAUCCCCGCCUCAACAAAGAAAAAGAGUCAACAAUUUACAUAGCAGACCCGUUUUUCCCAAGGACUUCCCUCUGGAUUGUGGCUCUGGCUGUAGUGUCCUGGGUUUUCUCAUUUCCCCAGCCAUUUACUAUUGUUGGAUGCAGCACAGAGAGAAAGGUAAAGUAAUAGUGGGAGAUUCCUUGGGUGAAACUGUUUCAGUUGAGAGAAAUGCAGCAAAUGGAGCUAUUCUUUACAUCUCACUAAUGAAUUCAAACCUAUUUUUAGUGUCAGAUAAAAACUACAUUAAACUGAAAGUCAGGUUGGGAGUAUGUAUCUGUAACUCAAAGGUGCAUGUUUUAUGUAUCCCAGAAGCAAACAUCACAAGCCUGACUAAUUCAGCAUAAAAAAUCCCCAACAAGCUAAGGUCUGGAAGCACACGGUAAGACCAUCCAAACAGUCUUAAUUCUGCCAUUUAGUGUUAC